AUGAACAUAGAGGAUCACCGCAUGUCAUGACAGGCAGAGUAACUGAACAUAGAGCACUUGAGGCACAUGAAGACUUUGUACGACCUUUUCUCUGAAUGGAAAAUGAAUUCUCCUGCACUCAGCAUAUCAAAUCCUGAGAGACUUUCCUGGACCGACUUUGGCCACCUCAAUUUCUGAAAUGUUAUACUGAUUACUUCUUUAAGAUAUUGUUUGGCCCAAGGUCAUGUAACAUAUGAGUUCAUUCUGUGCAUGAAGCUCCCCAGAGAACAACGGUACACAAUGUCAGUUUGGUUAUGGCAUCUGAAAACUCAUAAGAGCAGACUUUCAUUAAAAGCAGUAUUACCCCCAGCCCUUGCCUUCUGAGAAUUCACAUAUGAAUAAUUAGGAGUCUGUAAGUAGGGGCCUACCUGUGGUACAUAUUUCUCCUGUUUUUGAAGUAAAAGGAUAUUUCUAUAAAGUUUCUCAAACA
rnacentral:lncRNA from 1 species